rnacentral:lncRNA from 1 species
GGAUAGAAUAAGUUUUUGGGAGUUUUGAAGGAUCAGAGAGCUAGCUUCAUGCUUCGGGAAGGGGAAAAAAGACAGAGAAUUGGGUUUUUUUUCUUCAUAGGGGUUUGAGAAGACUGAGGCAAUUGUUGCUGAAGUUAGUGUUGUAAUGGUAAAUCGAGAUUUUUAAUGAAGUGGGUUUGAUUACUCUUGACUAUUUUGUGAAAUCGAAGUUACGUCUGUGAUUCGAGAAUUAAAAGGGUGUCUAUAGGAUUGAGUAUGCGGAGUGAAUGAAAUUUAUUAGAUUAAUCUAACAAGACAGUCAGUGGAUACAAGAUC